rnacentral:snRNA from 1 species
AUAUUAUCUGGCUGUGACAUCUGCCACUCCAUUGAGCACCAAGGUUGAUUAAGCUGAUCCGGCUGGCUAGGCGAGGGUCCCCUUCCUUCUUCUUCCUCACUGCUCCAUGUGUGUCCCUCCUGAAUCUACAUGCUCAGCAGAGGAUGAAGACCAUCCCUCAUAGAGGAGUACUGGCGCAGUGGAAGAGGAAGACCAUCACUGAUAGAGGAGGACCAUUUCCUCAGUCAAAGGUACAAGAGUAGCUGUGCUUCCCUACUAGAACCUCCAAACAAGCUCUCAAAAGCUAUGUGCUCCAAUACUGCCUGUAGACUAAAUAACAACUACAUCAUGUAUUUGAACAUCUCUUACA